UCACUAUUUUUUUUUAUAAAAGAGAUCUUUCCACUAAACAAUAUUUGAGUUUUAGUACAUUCCAAAAAUUAUUAUUGUUGAAACCUAUGGAUUAAUAUAUCAAGGAUAUUUAUAUUAUUGUAUGUUUUUAUUUAUUUAUAGCAUUUAGAUUUUUUUUUGGUUGGGAGUGUUGAAAAUUGUAUUCUCUACCAUGAACAGUGUUAUUUCUUCUAAGAAAUGCCACUUUCAUUCCAAUCUUCUAAGAAAUGCCAUAGGACCCACUUUAACUCAUAAAAAUGUCAAUUAUAUCCCUCACUCAAACUUUCUCUCUUUUCUUUCAUUUUUUUUCAUCUCUUUCUCUUCUUCUUUCAUUUUUUCUUUCUUUCUUUCUCUUCUUCUUUCAUCUUUUCUUUCUUCAACAACAAACAAAUCUCUCUACAAUUCCGGCAGACUAGUUCCGGCGAACCAUUUCCGGUGGACCAGUUCCGGCGGACCAGUUGCAGUUCCGGCGGACCAGUUCUAGUUCCGGCGGACCAGUUCCAGUUCCAGCGGAAUAUAACCAGUCUCAGUAGACCAGAUCUGAUAGACGAGAUAUGACAGACCAGUUUCGAUGGACCAAUUCUGGAGUAUCAGAUCCGGCAAACCAGUUUCAGUGGAUCAUAUCAGGUGAAGAAGUUACAGCGGACCAUAACCAGUUCUGAUGGACCAGAUCUGGUGGACCAGAAUCGGUAGACCAAACUUGUGCAUCCUACAGAUUUCUUGAAACCACAAGAAAUUAAGCAGAAGAUAAAACAAAUGAUGCAUCUAUGGAAGAUAUCAUCAAUGAUCCAUCUAGGUAUACACUUUCGAUCACACAUUUGUGCGUUGAUGGACUAGAUUCGGUGGACUAGAUCUGAUGUCUGUAAUAUGUCCAUUUUUUGUUUCUUAAUUUGUUGUCCAUUAUACGUAUAUAGUAAAAGCAAAGAGUAUCGGCACAAAAAAAAACUUGUCUAUUAAUUAAUGUCCAUAAUUGGUUUAUGUUAGGUUUUUUUGUCUUCUUUCUUUGAGGGCAUUUUUGUCUUUUUAAUUUAUAAUAAAAAUGAAUAUGGCAUUUUACAAAAUACAAAGUUGAAAGUGGCAGUUUUAAA
rnacentral:lncRNA from 1 species